rnacentral:rRNA from 1 species
UACGGGGGGAGCAAGCGUUGUUCGGAUUUACUGGGCGUAAAGGGCGCGUAGGCGGCGCAACAAGUCACUUGUGAAAUCUCCGGGCUUAACCCGGAGCGGCCAAGUGAUACUGUCGUGCUAGAGUGCGGAAGGGGCUACUGGAAUUCUCGGUGUAGCGGUGAAAUGCGUAGAUAUCGAGAGGAACACCGGUGGUGUAGACGGCUCACUGGACCGUAACUGACGCUGAGACACGAAAGCGUGGGUAGCAAACAGG